GACGAACGCUGGCGGCGUGCUUAACACAUGCAAGUCGAACGGUAAGGCUCCAGCUUGCUGGGGUACACGAGUGGCGAACGGGUGAGUAACACGUGGGUGACCUGCCCUGCACUUCGGGAUAAGCCUGGGAAACUGGGGCUAAUACCGGCUAGGACCAUGGUGUGGAUAGUGUGGUGGAAGGUUUUUUCGGUGUGGGAUGGGCCGGUGGCGUAUCAGCUCGUUGGUGGGGGAUGGGCCGACGAAGGCGGCGCCGGGUAGCCGGCCUGGGAGGGUGGACGGCCACAUUGGGACUGGGACACGGCCCAGACUCCUACGGGAGGCAGCAGUGGGGAAUAUUGCACAAUGGGCGGAAGCCUGAUGCAGCGACGCCGCGUGGGGGAUGACGGCCUUCGGGUUGUAAACUCCUUUCGCCAUCGACGAAGGGUUUCUGACGGUAGAUGGAGAAGAAGCACCGGCUAACUACGUG
rnacentral:rRNA from 1 species